GAUGAACGCUAGCGGCAGGCCUAACACAUGCAAGUCCGAGGGAGAGGUUACCUUCGGGUAACCAAAACCGGCGCACGGGUGCGUAACGCGUAUACAAUCCUGCCUUUCACAUAGGGAUAGCCCGAAGAAAUUUGGAUUAAUACCUAAUGGUAUAUAGGAGCGGCAUCCGUUUUUAUAUUAAAGCUACGGUGGUGAAAGAUGAGUAUGCGUUAUUAGCUAGUUGGAGAGGUAACGGCUCCCCAAGGCGACGAUAGAUAGGGGUUCCUGAGAGGGAUGUCCCCCACACUGGUACUGAGAUACCGGACCAGACUCCUACGGGAGGCAGCAGUGAGGAAUAUUGGACAAUGGUCGGAAGACUGAUCCAGCCAUGCCGCGUGCAGGAUGAAGGUCCUAUGGAUUGUAAACUGCUUUUGUAAGGGAAGAAUAAGGAGUACGAGUACUUUGAUGACGGUACCUUACGAAUAAGCAUCGGCUAACUCCGUGCCAGCAGCCGCGGUAAUACGGAGGAUGCGAGCGUUAUCCGGAAUCAUUGGGUUUAAAGGGUCCGUAGGCGGGCUGAUAAGUCAGAGGUGAAAGCGCUUAGCUCAACUAAGCAACUGCCUUUGAAACUGUCAGUCUUGAAUGAUUGUGAAGUAGUUGGAAUGUGUAGUGUAGCGGUGAAAUGCUUAGAUAUUACACAGAACACCGAUAGCGAAGGCAUAUUACUAACAAUUUAUUGACGCUGAUGGACGAAAGCGUGGGGAGCGAACAGGAUUAGAUACCCUGGUAGUCCACGCUGUAAACGAUGGAUACUAGCUGUUAUGGAGCAAUCUGAGUGGCUAAGCGAAAGUGAUAAGUAUCCCACCUGGGGAGUACGCACGCAAGUGUGAAACUCAAAGGAAUUGACGGGGGCCCGCACAAGCGGUGGAGCAUGUGGUUUAAUUCGAUGAUACGCGAGGAACCUUACCAACGUUUAAAUGGGGACUGACAGAGGUAGAGAUACCUCCUUCUUCGGACAGUCUUCAAGGUGCUGCAUGAUAGUCGUCAGCUCGUGCCGUGAGGUGUCAGGUUACGUCCUAUAACGAGCGCAUCCCUGCCAUUAGUAGCUACCAAGUCAAG
rnacentral:rRNA from 1 species